rnacentral:rRNA from 1 species
GGCAACCCUGAUCCAGCCAUGCCGCGUGUGUGAAGAAGGCCUUAGGGUUGUAAAGCACUUUCAGUAGGGAGGAAGGCCCAGUAGUUAAUACCUGCUGGGAUUGACGUUACCUAUAGAAGCAGCACCGGCUAACCCCGUGCCAGCAGCCGCGGUAAUACGGAGGGUGCAAGCGUUAAUCGGAAUUACUGGGCGUAAAGCGCGCGUAGGCGGUUUGUUAAGUGAGAUGUGAAAGCCCAGGGCUCAACCUUGGAACUGCAUCUCAUACUGGCAGGCUAGAGUACGGUAGAGGGGGGUAGAAUUCCA